CAAGACCCCCAGAGACGACAGUCGGAGGGAUCAAACGACACAGGAAAACCGGCGGCUUGAUCGGCUUUUAGGUAGCCCCGGAAAGGUCGGGAGGAGGAGGGGCAAAGGCCGCGCUCCUCAGCUGGGAAGGAGGUGGUCUCGAGCAGCCUCCAGUCCCGGGCUCAACACCGCCAACCCGGCAAGGGUGAGGCAGCGUUCAGGGAUGCAAGGGGCAGAGCGGUAGCGGCACCUGUGCACCCCUCCCACCUCUGCCUCAGUUUACCAUGUACGGCCUCAUUUCUCUCCGGGCUGCCCUGAGAGAAAAAUGUUCUCCAGCCGAGAUUUGCUUGAAUUGGAAAUUCAAGUGAUCCAUGGACACAUCCUCCUUGACAGCCCCCAGAAGACUGUGGGCUGGUUACAUCCCCCUAGUUAGAAAAGGAAAAGGAUUCGAGGAGAAGGGAAGGAUGCAGCUUUGCCUUUUCCCAGCUUUGGAGCAUCAAGAAACUGUUACUGGGCGGAGUUGGGGCCAGGGGGCCACUGGGUGCUCUGAGAGUGUAAAGACCAAACUCUGGUGGGACCUGGCUCCAUUGCGGAGCCUCAAAGGCUCCAACAUGGUGGAGGAAGUUGGCAGUACCUUCUCUAGAUCUUUCUUUCCAUCCUUAGAAGAGUAUAAGCCCAAGCCGUGGAGUGAACAACCCCAAAGCUACCCUACGCUGAACUCCUCUCUUUGGUCCUGCCACUACGGGUCCUGCACUCCGAGGGUCCUGCACCCUGGGAGCCCUUAGGUCUGUUUGGAGAGAAAACAGUUCCUCCAGGCAAGAGGGGAGAAGUGUCCCCAGGAGGUUGGGGGAGGAGCACCUGUCCUCCUCCUUCUCAGGAAUCACAGGUCCUACCUCCCAGCCCCAUCCACCAUUGCCAGUCAGCGCCUGAUGCACUGGGGGUGUCCUGGGCCACCCCGACUUCCUCUGUGAGCUCCAUGUGGGGCCUCAGUCUUUACCUCAGGGGCUGGUUUACUAUUGCUUCUUGUACAGAGCCAUAUCAAGCUCCUUUUCCCGGCUUCCUCCCUCACCUCCCCCAUCUUAGCAGGGCCCCUGCCCCUUCCUCACCCCCUGGCUUCUGCAUCUCCCUAAGGGCAUAGCCUAGUGGUGGUUUCUCCCCUGAAUAGGCCCAGCUAGCCUCUGUCCCAUCCCCUGUUAUUUGGGCCCUAACAGAAGCUACCCAAAUUUGAAGCAUCUCUGCCCCAUGCUCAAGACCUGAGGGUCUCACAUCCUCCAAAUGGGUCCCCAGAUUCCAGAUCCACGGAUUUGGGGAUCACACUGUUCAUCAGCUGUCACUAAACUUAUUUUACUAUGAGCCAGCCUCCCAGACGGGAUUGUGAAAUGGCUCCGCGUGCGAACGGGUCCAGGAGCCGUUCGUUGUACAGAGGGGGAAGCUAAGUCUGGAAGGAGCACUAGGGGCAGGCUCAGCGGCCAGCAGCCAGCGGCAGGGGGAUCGUGCAUCGCUUGGAGGGCGCUGGGCUCUCCUCCAUCCGCCUCGGCCGUGGGCAGUUUGUUUCCGCUCCCACUUGCAGCG
rnacentral:lncRNA from 1 species